GAUAUAAGUUUUCAACUCCUUUGAGUAAUUAUCAAGGAGUGUAGUUGCUAGAUCAUAUGUUAAGAGUAUGUGUAGUUUAGUAAGAAACUUGCCAAGCUGUCUUUCAAAGUGGCUGUACCAUUUUGAAUACCCACUAGCAGUGAAUGAGAGUGCCUGUUAU